AAUGGAUAUCUCGGAUGACUUCGUGGACAUUUAUGAAGACGAUCAGCCUGCAAAGAAACUGGGUUUUGAUGCAAUGACACCGAAGAAGAAUCAAAUAUGCAGCCCAAUGAAAGAUUCUCCGAAGACGGACAGUGGAAGUGUAGAGAUCAUUUCAUAUGGACAUUAUUUUAGUCCAUUCAAAUCUGAAAUGCAUAGGGAGGUUAUUGAACAGUUUCAGAACAUAGAAAAACAAGCUAAAAGAAAGCAUGCGCUCCUAACUUGGAAAUGGGAUGAGGUCAUUGAUAUUACCCAAA